UACGAAGGGUGCAAGCGUUACUCGGAAUUACUGGGCGUAAAGCGUGCGUAGGUGGUGAGUUAAGUCUGAUGUGAAAUCCCCGGGCUCAACCUGGGAAUGGCAUUGGAUACUGGCUCGCUGGAGUGCGGUAGAGGGUGGUGGAAUUCCCGGUGUAGCAGUGAAAUGCGUAGAGAUCGGGAGGAACAUCUGUGGCGAAGGCGGCCACCUGGACCAGCACUGACACUGAGGCACGAAAGCGUGGGGAGCAAAUAGG
rnacentral:rRNA from 1 species